CGACGCAGACGACGAGAACGGCGAACAAGGAUCGGGCGGAUGAGGAGGCGACCUAAGAGAAAGAUGUCUGUGCAGUAGGCGCUGAUGGUGCACGGCGUUGUUACGCUGCUGCUGGUGGUGUUGCCCUCUGCAGGCACUGGUCCAUCUUCGGAGAAGAUCCACAACUUCCUCACCUUCGGCGCCUGCGACGACUUCUUGCUGCUCUUCUCAAGUUCACGAGUAACAUAAGGGGUAAUCGAUGGAAGAACGAAUUGCAUGAUGCUUAUGUCUUACCUGACUAAAGACUUCUGUCACACAAUCAACACAAUUCACAGGUCAGUAUAAUGUUGAGAACUGUUGGAAAUUUUCUCAGUUGUUACAAGUACAACUAUUAUGCUCAUUGGUUACAGUUCAAAGAAAAGAUCAAUAAAAAUAACCCUUGGAACUUGAUUUGCUUCUGCUGGGAAACUGGAAAAUCUGUUAUUAUAUAUUAUAAUUAAUAUUUAACAAACCAUACUACAUACGGGUCCAUAGCUCAGUGGUAGAGCAAUUGACUGCAGAUCAAUAGGUCACCGGUUCGAACCUGGUUGGGCCCUUAUCUUAUUCAAUUUUUGGGUUCUCGUCAGUGUAUUUAUGUUAAGCAUAUCAGUCAGUCAUCAUUUGAUUUUUAUGAUGCUCAUGUAGGUUUUCUAUAAAUAAUUUUUCUACAAGUCAUUGUAUGAUUCGGUAAUAUGUUAUUAUAAAAGAGAAAGUGAUAUUAUUUUUCUAGGAUGUUAUAUGUGGCAAUCAUUUUGUUCUUUAUAAAUAUAUUUCAUAGGGUACAUCUGGUUGGCAAUCAUUUUGUUCUUUAUAAAUGUGGUAUGAUAUUUAUAGUGUUUGUAUAUUUUUAAUCAUAAAUCGAUCCUGUUAUUAACGGGUCCAUAGCUCAGUAGUAGAGCAAUUGACUGCAGAUCAAUAGGUCACCGGUUCGAACCUGGUUGGGCCCUUAUCUUGUUUAAUUUUUGGGUUCUCGUCAUUGUAUUUAUGUUAAGCAUAUCAGUCAGUCAUCAUUUGAUUUUUAUGAUGCUCAUGUAGGUUUUCUAUAAAUAAUUUUUCUACAAGUCGUUGUAUGAUUCAGUAAUAUGUUAUUAUAAGAGAGAAAGAGAUAUUAUUUUUCUAGGAUGUUAUAUGUGGCAAUCAAUUUGUUCUCUAUAAAUAUACUUCUCUGUAAGUCAUGGUAUUGAUGUUAAGUAUUUUAGUCAAUAAUCAAUUUUCAUUUGUUUAUUUGAUGGUCAUCAUGUUGUUAAUAUCUUGUAUUUCUAUUCAACAUGGUUGUAUUUAUAAAGAAGUUAUAUGUAGGUCUUUUUAUAAAUUUGUUAUCUAUAAAUCAUGUUAUGAUUUGGUAAUAUGUUUUAAAGACAAAAGUGAUUUUUUUUUUAAGAAAAGGUAUAUGUGGCAGUCAUUUUUGUUUAUUAUACAUCUAUUUUUCUGUAAGUCAUGGUUUGGUUUGGUAAGAUGUUAUAAGAUACAAUGAGGCAUGAUACUUGUAGUUUUUGUACGUUUCUGACCACAAAUGAACCACAACAUUAUGAUAUUAGUUUUUAAGUUCUUUUAAAAGUCAUUGACAUAGUCAAUAUUCCAGUAAAUCAUGAUAUGAUCUGUUAAGAUGUUAUUUGUGGCCCUAUUCAUUGAUUGUUAGUUAUGAUGGUCAUCAUGGUAUCAAUACUAAGGAUUUCAGCCAUCAAUGUUUGUUUUUUUAAUAUGUUAUAUGUGGUAGUCAUCUUUGUUCUCAUUAAAUAUAUAUUUUUCUGUAAAUCAUGGUAUGAUUGGGUAAGAUGUUUGAAGAGGCAAUGUGGCACUGCUUGGUUUAGAUGUUUUAUAUGGCAGCCAUCUUUGUUUUUAAUAAAUAUAUUUUUCUGUAAAUGAUGGUAUGAUUGAGUAAGAUGUUUCAAGAGGCAAUGUGGCACUGCUUGAUUACUAUGUUAUAAUGUGGUAGUCAGUUUUUUUCUUUUUCUUUUUUAUACUCCUAUUAGUCGUGGCAUCAUUUGAUAAGAUGUUAUAAGGGGGAAAAAUUAAUCAAAGGGAAAAUUUGAACUGCAAAAUAUAUGAUAGUUCAGUACCAUGACACAAAUUGGAGAUCAUGGACGAACUUGAAACUUCUUUGGAAGGAUUAUUUGGGUAAUUUAAUUGUUAUUUUAACCACUAAUGUUGCAUGGGUUCAGGAUCGGUUAACAAUUAGGCAAUAAUCAGCAAAUGGUAAGUGUCUUUUGUUCAAUUUGACAUCUUCCACUCCUUACUUUUGCAGCAAUUAUUUACAUAACCUAUCUUAUUUCUCCGUGACAAGCUGCUGAUGUUGAUUCUCAUGCGUCCGUCAGAGCAUAGCAUGGCAUUGCCUCUGCCUGUAAGUGCCUUGGUCAGCUAGUGGUCAUCCAUAUCUAGUGAAUAAGCGCAUUUAUUCUAAAUGCCAGAUAAGGACAUGACAGUGAAUGGCAGAUUUUUUGGAUUUUAAAAUCUAAUUAUUUGAAUUGAAUUGAUUGUUCGAA